rnacentral:rRNA from 1 species
AGAGUUUGAUCCUGGCUCAGGACGAACGCUGGCGGUGUGCUUCACACAUGCAAGUCGAACGAGGUAGCAAUACCUAGUGGCGGACGGGUGAGUAACGCGUGGGAAUCUGCCCUUGGGUAGGGGAUAGCAGGCCGAAAGGCCUAUUAAUACCGUAUAUGCCGUGAGGUAAAAGGAGUAAUCCGCCCGAGGAUGAGCCUGCGUCCGAUUAGCUAGUUGGUGGGGUAAAAGCCUACCAAGGCUACGAUCGGUAGCUGGUCUGAGAGGAUGAUCAGCCACAAUGGGACUGAGACACGGCCCAUACUCCUACGGGAGGCAGCAGUGGGGAAUUUUACGCAAUGGGGGAAACCCUGACGUAGCGACACCGCGUGAGCGAAGAAGCCUUUUGGGGUGUAAAGCUCUGUCAGCAGGAACGAAUAAAUGACGGUACCUGCAGAGGAAGCAUCGGCUAACUACGUGCCAGCAGCCGCGGUAAGACGUAGGAUGCGAGCGUUGUCCGGAUUCAUUGGGCGUAAAGAGUUCGUGGGCGGUUUGUUAAGUCUGAUGUUAAAGAUCAGGGCCCAACCCUGGGAGUGCAUUGGAUACUGGCAGACUUGAGUACAGUAGAGGCGAGUGGAAUUCCCAGUGUAGCGGUGAAAUGCGUAGA